GGCGGGGGAGCGCUCGGGCCGCGGCGCGGGCCGCUCCUGGCGCUCUGGUGGCGCGCGCUCGGGCGGCGCGGCGCGCUCGGGCGCGCGCUCCCGCGGC
rnacentral:tRNA from 1 species